CUUAUCCUUGUCUUUGGGGAGCAAAGUGCUCAAUGAUCGUUUAGUGAGAGUACUGUUGCUGAAACCCAGAUAAAAAUUUUAACCGCAUCCGUAAUAUAUUUACGAGAUGCAAUUUUUGGGUAG